rnacentral:rRNA from 1 species
UCAUUACUGAGUGCGGGCUGCCUUCGGGCGCCCAACCUCCCACCCGUGACUACCUAACACUGUUGCUUCGGCGGGGAGCCCUCUCGGGGGCGAGCCGNNNNGGACUACUGAACUUCAUGCCUGAGAGUGAUGCAGUCUGAGUCUGAAUAUAAAAUCAGUCAAAACUUUCAACAAUGGAUCUCUUGGUUCCGGCAUCGAUGAAGAACGCAGCGAACUGCGAUAAGUAAUGUGAAUUGCAGAAUUCAGUGAAUCAUCGAGUCUUUGAACGCACAUUGCGCCCCCUGGCAUUCCGGGGGGCAUGCCUGUCCGAGCGUCAUUGCUGCCCAUCAAGCCCGGCUUGUGUGUUGGGUCGUCGUCCCCCCCGGGGGACGGGCCCGAAAGGCAGCGGCGGCACCGUGUCCGGUCCUCGAGCGUAUGGGGCUUUGUCACCCGCUCGAUUUAGGGCCGGCCGGGCGCCAGCCGACGUCCAACCAUUUUUCUUCAGGUUGACCUCGGAUCAGGUAGGGAUACCCGCUGAACUUAAGCAUAUCAAUAAGCGGAGGA